AUUGAACGCUGGCGGCAGGCCUAACACAUGCAAGUCGAACGAGUGGCGGACGGGUGAGUAAUGUCUGGGAAACUGCCUGAUGGAGGGGGAUAACUACUGGAAACGGUAGCUAAUACCGCAUACCAUCAGAUGUGCCCAGCUGGGAUUAGCUAGUUGGUGGGGUACCGGCUCACCAAGGCGACGAUCCCUAGCUGGUCUGAGAGGAUGACCAGCCACACUGGAACUAGGACACGGUCAAGACGCCGACGGGAGGCAGCAGUGGGGAAUAUUGCACAAUGGGCGGAAGCCUGAUGCAGCCAUGCGGAGUGUAUGAAGAAGGCCUUCGGGUUGUAAAGUACUUUCAGCGGGGAGGCGGUACCCGCAGAAGAAGCACCGGCUAAGUCCGUGCCAGCAGCCGCGGUAAUUC
rnacentral:rRNA from 1 species